GGGAGGGAGUUUGAAUAAACAUUUUGCUUACACUAAAAAGAUACUCUUGAGAGUGCUCUCUAA
rnacentral:tRNA from 2 species